GGGGAAUAUUGCGCAAUGGGGGAAACCCUGACGCAGCAACGCCGCGUGAAGGAAGAAGGUUUUCGGAUUGUAAACUUCUUUUCUGAGGGACGAAGAAAGUGACGGUACCUUAGGAAUAAGCCACGGCUAACUACGUGCCAGCAGCCGCGGUAAUACGUAGGUGGCAAGCGUUGUCCGGAUUUACUGGGUGUAAAGGGCGAGUAGGCGGGGCGGCAAGUCAGAUGUGAAAGCUAUGGGCUCAACCCAUAGACUGCAUUUGAAACUGUUGCUCUUGAGUGAUGGAGAGGCAGGCGGAAUUCCCGGUGUAGCGGUGGAAUGCGUAGAGAUCGGGAGGAACACCAGUGGCGAAGGCGGCCUGCUGGACAUUAACUGACGCUGAGGAGCGAGAGCGUGGGGAGCAAAC
rnacentral:rRNA from 1 species